rnacentral:rRNA from 1 species
CCAGACUCCUACGGGAGGCAGCAGUGGGGGAUAUUGCACAAUGGGGGAAACCCUGAUGCAGCGACGCCGCGUGUGGGAAGACGGUCUUCUGGAUUGUAAACCACUGUCCCCAGGGACGAAAAUGACGGUACCUGACUAAGAAGCCCCGGCUAACUACGUGCCAGCAGCCGCGGUAAUACGUAGGGGGCAAGCGCUAUCCGGAUUUACUGGGUGUAAAGGGAGCGUAGACGGCGGUGCAAGCCAGAUGUGAAAGCCCGGGGCUCAACCCCGGGACUGCAUUUGGAACUGUGCUGCUAGAGUGUCGGAGAGGCAGGCGGAAUUCCUAGUGUAGCGGUGAAAUGCGUAGAUAUCAGGAGGAACACCGGCGGCGAAGGCGGCCUGCUGGACCGUGACUGACGUUGAGGCUCGAGAGCGUGGGGAGCAAACAGGAUUAGAUACCCUAGUACA